ensembl:snoRNA
GAGAGAGAUCCCCUCUUUUCAAUGAGUUAAUGUGCCCUUCUCAGGAACAUUGGCAACUUGGAAGAAAACCUGGUCUGCCUGAGGUCCUUUCAGAGCAAGGGAUGCUUGUUUCAUUUACCUUCCUUUGACUGCCUACGUAU